AAGGAGUUUUUUAGUCCUCUAAGAAUUGUGAAUUGCAGAAUCCCGUGAACCAUCAAGUUUUUGAACGCAAGUUGCACCCGAAGCCAUUAGGCCGAGGGCAUGUCUGCCUGGGCUUCA
rnacentral:rRNA from 1 species